rnacentral:misc_RNA from 1 species
CAGAGUUCUAAAAGACUCCCAAAACCAUUGUGAACGUACCCGUCAGCGUUGCCUCGGCGGGGCGGGCCCCUCCCUGGGGCCGCUGCCUCCCCCGGGGGGUGCCCGCCGGCGUACCAAAACUCUUCUGUAUUUUAGUGGCCUCUCUGAGAAAACAAGCAAAUAAGUUUA